GUCCUUUCGGGAACAUCCGACAAAAUUGAAACGAUACAGAGAAGAUUAGUAUGGCUGUUGCACAAGAAUAACAUGCAUAAAUCAAGAAAGAAAGAUUUAAACU